GAGUUUCUUUUGAGGCCGGCCGCUUCCCAGCCAGGCUGAAAGGGCUCGGGAAGCUAGCUGGCCUUGUUGGCCCUU
ensembl:miRNA